GCUGACUGCAGCCCGGCUGUCCCCCCAUCCCCCCAUGAUGACCCCAUCCCCCCACAAUGUCCCCAUCACCCCACAAUGGCCCCAUCCCAUUAAAGCGUCCCCAUCACACUGUGGUGUCCCCAUUAAUCCAUGGUGUCCCCAUCCCCCCAUGGUGUCCCCAUCACCCCACAAUGUCCCCAUCCUUCCAUGGUGUCCCCAUCCCAUUGGGGUCCGCACUGCGCUGUCCCCAUCACUCUACAGUGUCCCCAUCCCCCUAUGGUGCCCCAUGACCCCAUAAUGUCCCCAUCACCCCAUAAUGUCCCCAUCAGCCCAUAAUGUCCCCAUCACACUGUGGUGUCCCCAUCUUUCAUGGUGUCCCCAUCCCACUGUGGUGUCCCCAUCACCCCACAAUGUCCCCAUCCCACUGUGGUGUCCCCAUUACAAUGAGGUGUCCCCAUCACUCCAUGGUGUCCCCAUCACCCCACAACGUCCCCAUCCCACUGUGGUGUCCCCAUCCCACUGGUGUGUCCCAUCCUUCUAUGGUGUCCCCAUCACCCCAUAAUGUCCUCAUCACAUAGUGGGGUCCCCAUCCCAUUAAAGUGUCCCCAUCACACUGUGGUGUCCCCAUCCCCCCAUGGUGUCCCCAUCACCCCAUAAUGUCCCCAUCCUUCCAUGGUGUCCCCAUCCCAUUGGGGUCUCCCCAUCCUUCUAUGGUGUCCCCAUCACCCCACAAUGUCCCCAUCCUUCCAUGAUGACCCCAUCACAUUAAAGUGUCCCCAUCCCCCCAUGGUGUCCCCAUGACCCCAUAAUGUCCCCAUCCCCCCAUGGUGUCCCCAUCCCCCACAAUUGUCCCCAUCCCAUUAAAGUGUCCC
ensembl:lncRNA